rnacentral:rRNA from 1 species
CCUACGGGGGGCUGCAGUGAGGAAUAUUGGUCAAUGGGCGAGAGCCUGAACCAGCCAAGUCGCGUGAGGGAGUACUGCCCUAUGGGUUGUAAACCUCUUUUGUCGGGGAGCAAAAGCCGGACGUGUCCGGCUGUGAGAGUACCCGAAGAAAAAGCAUCGGCUAACUCCGUGCCAGCAGCCGCGGUAAUACGUAGGGGGCAAGCGUUAUCCGGAUUUACUGGGUGUAAAGGGGGCGCAGAGGGGGGUGCAAGCCAGGAGUGAAAGCCCGGGGCCCAACCCCGGGACAGCGGUUGGAACUGGGUGGCUGGAGUGCGGGAGGGGCAGGCGGAAUGCGUGGUGUAGCGGUGAAAUGCGUAGAUAUCAGGAAGAACACCGGUGGCGAAGGCGGCCUGCUGGACUGCAACUGACGUUGAGGCCCGAAAGCGUGGGGAGCAAACAGGAUUAGAUACCCGGGUAGUC